rnacentral:rRNA from 1 species
AACAAACGCUGGCGGCAGGCUUAACACAUGCAAGUCGAGCGCCUCGCAAGAGGAGCGGCAGACGGGUGAGUAACGCGUGGGAACGUACCCUUAUCUUCGGAAUAGCUCUGGGAAACUGGAAGUAAUACCGAAUGUGCCCUUAGGGGGAAAGAUUUAUCGGAUAAGGAUCGGCCCGCGUUGGAUUAGCUAGUUGGUGGGGUAAAGGCCUACCAAGGCGACGAUCCAUAGCUGGUCUGAGAGGAUGAUCAGCCACAUUGGGACUGAGACACGGCCCAAACUCCUACGGGAGGCAGCAGUGGGGAAUAUUGGACAAUGGGCGCAAGCCUGAUCCAGCCAUGCCGCGUGAGUGAUGAAGGCCUUAGGGUUGUAAAGCUCUUUCACCGGAGAAGAUAAUGACGGUAUCCGGAGAAGAAGCCCCGGCUAACUUCGUG